AAUAAGUAUAAUUUUACAUUAUUUAUGUUCAACGUUUGACCAUCCAUCUUAUUUGAAAAAAAUUAUGAUUAAUAUUUUUGUUGUUAUUAGAUGAUAAAACAUGAAUAGUACUUUAUGUGUGACUAAUUUUUUAAACUUUUUUCAUAAAUUUUUUAAAUAAAACGAACGGUUAAACGUUGGACACAGAAACCCACGACUACACUUAUU
rfam:Oryza punctata chromosome 12, whole genome shotgun sequence.